AUUGAACGCUGGCGGCAUGCCUUACACAUGCAAGUCGAACGGUAACGGGCCUUCGGGUGCCGACGAGUGGCGAACGGGUGAGUAAUGCAUCGGAACGUACCUUUCAGUGGGGGAUAACGUAGCGAAAGUUACGCUAAUACCGCAUAUUCUGUGAGCAGGAAAGCAGGGGAUCGCAAGACCUUGCGCUGAUUGAGCGGCCGAUGUCAGAUUAGCUAGUUGGUGAGGUAAAGGCUCACCAAGGCGACGAUCUGUAGCGGGUCUGAGAGGAUGAUCCGCCACACUGGAACUGAGACACGGUCCAGACUCCUACGGGAGGCAGCAGUGGGGAAUUUUGGACAAUGGGCGCAAGCCUGAUCCAGCCAUUCCGCGUGCAGGAUGAAGG
rnacentral:rRNA from 1 species